UACGGGGGGGGGCAAGCGUUGUUCGGAAUUACUGGGCGUAAAGGGCUUGUAGGUGGCCAACUAAGUCAGACGUGAAAUCCCUCGGCUUAACCGGGGAACUGCGUCUGAUACUGGAUGGCUGGAGUGUGGGAGAGGGAUGCGGAAUUCCAGGUGUAGCGGUGAAAUGCGUAGAUAUCUGGAGGAACACCGGUGGCGAAGGCGGCAUCCUGGACCAAUAUUGACGCUGAGGAGCGAAAGCCAGGGGAGCAAACGGG
rnacentral:rRNA from 1 species